GUUGUUGCGGUUAAAAGCUCGUAGUUGGAUUUCUGUCUGUGAGUGAAAGUCCGCUCUCAGUGGUUGUACUUUUCGCGCCACCGGCAUCUUCCUGGGGAUUAUGUCUGCUCUUUGUUGAGUGGCGUAUAAUCCAGGACUUUUACUUUGAAGAAAUGAGAGUGUUUCAAGCAGGCCAUCGCCGUGAAUACGUUAGCAUGGAAUAAUAGCAUCGGACCUCGUUCCAAAGCUGUUGGUUUCUUGGACCGAGGUAAAGGUGAAUAGGGAUUGUUGGGGGCAUUCGUAUUUAACUGUCAGAGGUGAAAUUCUUGGAUUUGUUGAAGACGGACUACUGCGAAAGCAUCUGCCAAAGAUGUUCUCAUUGAUCAAGAACGAAAGUUAGGUGAUCGAAGACGAUCAGAUACCGUCCUAGUCUUAACCAUAAACUAUGCCGACUGGAGAUCGGGGGUCGUUAACUUUGUGACGCCCUCUGCAUCUUGAGAGAAA
rnacentral:rRNA from 1 species